rnacentral:tRNA from 1 species
GCUUGUGUAGAUUAAAAAAAUUGUAAGGCUGUUAACCUUAAGAUGCGCUGUGAUAGCGCCAUAAACA